UCUAUUUUUGUCAUUACAUGUUAAGUUUCAUUUUUUUAAAGAUUCUCAGCCUAAUCUUGUAUUUGUUUCAAUUCUCCAAUGUUUCCCCAUCACUAAUCUUUUCACUUUUCCCCAAUUACUUUAUUUAUUUCUGUUCAUAGCAGUAUCUCUGUAGCGCAUGCGUGACUUAUCGUAUUUAAUUGAGAAUUACUUUGAACAGUCCAUCUUGACUCUGCCACCCAGUUCCUGGAAGACAGUCCUGCAACACCUUCCAGGAUAUGCUAUGACUGGUCAAUGGGAAGGGAAAGAGACCAGUGCAGGACUGUUUUCUGAGGAUGGCACUACUCAUGAUGAUAAUACUGCUGACCCUUCUCAGUCAUUGGAUGGCAGAAUGCAGUGACUUAUGAGGACGUGCAUGUGAACUUCACUCAAGAGGAGUGGGCUCUGCUUGAUCCUUCUCAGAAGAAGCUCUACAAAGAUGUCAUGCUGGAGACCUACAGGAACCUCAACGCUAUAGGAUUUAAUUGGGACUCAAAAAUAUUCAAGAACAUUGUCCAAGUUCUAGAAGACACAGAAGGCAUGAAAGAAGUCAGAGUGCAGAGAAAGCGUCUGAAUAUACUCAAUGUGAUAAAGUCUUUUUUUAUGCUCACCGUCAUGCUCAAAGGCAUGAAAGAAUUCAUACAGAAAUGAACCCCCUUGGAAUUAUUCAAUUUGUUGAAGCCUUUGCUCAACAUCGUCUCCAGCUUCGUAAAAGAGUACAAACUGGAAAGAAACUCUAUGAAUGGAAGCAAUGUGGUAAAGCCUUUGAAGAUCACAGUCAUCUUAAAAGCUAUGAAGGAAUUCAUAUGGGAGAGAAACCUUAUGAAUGCCAUCAGUGUGAAAAAGCCUUUUCAAGUCACAGUAAUCUCCUACAACCUAAAGGAACACAUACUGGAGAGAAAUGCUAUGAAUGUGAUCUGUGUGGUAAAGCCUUUUCACAACAUAGUCGGCUUAAAAGGCAUGGAAGAAUUCAUACUGGAGAGAAACCCUACAGAUGUAAUAACUGUGAGAAAGCCUUUUCACAACAUAUUCACCUCCAGUCACAUAGAAGAAUUCCUACUGGAGAGAAACCCUACAAAUAUAAUAAAUGUGAGAAAGCCUUUUUACAACACUAUAACCUCCAAAGACAUAAAAGAAUACAUAUUGCAUAGAAACCCAAUGAAUGUGGUCUAUGUGUGAAAGCCUGUGUAUGUCACAGGUAUCUUCAAAAGCAUAAAAAAAUUCAUACUGUAGAGAAAGCUUAUGAACAUAUAUAAUAUGGUAAAAUCUACAAAUAUCCGUAGUCUUAAUCAUCAUGAACAUAUUUGUAUUGGCAAGAAAUCCUCUGAAUAUUAACUGUGUGGUAAAACCUAUUUCAACACACUUAUCUCCUAAUGCAUCAAGGAGCACAUACUGGGGAGACAGUGGUGUGGGGAACUUAUGAAUGUACACAAUGUGGUAAAAAUCCAUGCUGCAGGGAAGCCCUACAAAUGUAGUCAUUCUGAUAAAAUUUUGCACUUCACAGUAUGUUUCUGUAAGAGGAAAGUCAUUAGCUUAUACUAAAUCUGUUAACGUUUGCAUGUCACAGUAAUUUUUCAACUUCUAAGUCUCACAAGUAGGGCAGUCUAUUACUCUGAAUGCCUUGGUAUGAUCUUUAGCCAAUCCACUUACAUUAAGUUACACAAAAUUAUUUAUUCCUGAGAAAAUCUCUAGCAAGUGUCAACUAUCUGCUCAAAUAUGAUAUGCCUAUUUAUUUUAACAUCAAAUAUGAUGUGUCUAUUUUUUUUAACGAGUAAAUUCAUAGGUUCAAAAACCCUUUCAAUUUCAUUGAUAAGGUACUGGUUUAAAUUUCACAGUUCAUUAAAUUUCACAGUCCAUUAAAUAACUCAUUCAUGUGUAAAACUUUGGGUGCAUAUUUGUGUGUUUUCUGUUAAUAUGAUAAAACAUUUUAAGCACUGUAGAAAAAUUCCAAACCAGGGUUUCCACCCCACAUUUGGCUAUUUCUUUUUCAGGUAAAAGACACACAGCCUUUAUAUUUAUACUAAGCCUUGAUCAGCACAUGCGCUUGGCAGAUAUUUAUCCUCUAUGCUAUUAUGUCUAUUUCCCAGCCAAUGAUUUCAUCCUAGAAUUUGCCUUGCUUCAUCUAGGCUACGCUCUGUCUGUGGCUUUGUGUGAUUGUGUGAAUGCUGAUUUCCAAGAAAAUUAAGCUGUUGUAUAGCAGAAAAUAUAGGAAGAUGUAAAACCGUGACCUGGUUCCAGGGAAUAAACUUUUCUUAAUUGCUUGGCC